GACGAACGCUGGCGGCGUGCUUAACACAUGCAAGUCGAACGGAAAGGCCCUGCUUGCAGGGUGCUCGAGUGGCGAACGGGUGAGUAACACGUGGGUGAUCUGCCCCUUACUUUGGGAUAAGCCUGGGAAACUGGGUCUAAUACUGGAUAGGACCAUGCUGUAGGUGGUGUGGUGGAAAGAUUAGUUUCGGUAAGGGAUGAGCUCGCGGCCUAUCAGCUUGUUGGUGGGGUAAUGGCCUACCAAGGCGUCGACGGGUAGCCGGCCUGAGAGGGUGGACGGCCACAUUGGGACUGAGAUACGGCCCAGACUCCUACGGGAGGCAGCAGUGGGGAAUAUUGCACAAUGGGCGCAAGCCUGAUGCAGCGAGGCCGCGUGGGGGAUGACGGCCUUCGGGUUGUAAACUCCUUUCAGCCAUGACGAAGCCCUUGUGGUGACGGUAGUGGUAGAAGAAGCACCGGCUAACUACGUG
rnacentral:rRNA from 1 species